UCUCAAUUUGCUCUAACAGCUGUUCUUCCUCAAUAAUAUUUACAUUAGGUGGUUUAUAACAUAUCCCAACCAAUAACUGAUUUCCCUUUGUUUGCCCCAAGCAGAUAUCUACCCAUAAAGCCUCCACCUUUUCCUCGUCACACUCCACAUGCCUAAGAUUUGACUUUAACUCAUGGUUGACAUAUAAACAUACCCCACCACCCUUCUUGUUUUUCCUAUCCUUCCUAAAUAACG